rnacentral:rRNA from 1 species
UNUUCNAAANGGGNAANUNUUGGANUUUUGGAAAACNNACGGANNCNAAANNGNUUGGCAAGGAUAUACCCAUUGAUCAAGGACGAAAGUUAGGGGAUCGAAGACGAUUAGAUACCGUCGUAGUCUUAACCAUAAACGUUGCCAUCUAAAAGAUGGUGUACUGUAAAUUNAAAGUACAUCCUUUUUUUCCGGGAAACCAAAGUUUUUGGGUUCUGGGGGGAGUAUGGUCGCAAGAUUGAAACUUAAAGGAAUUGACGGAAGGGCACCACCAGGAGUGGAGCCUGCGGCUUAAUUUGACUCAACACGGGGCAACUUACCAGGUCCGGACAUUUUUAUGAUUGACAGAUUGAUAGCUCUUCUUUCGCAUGAAGGUUUGUGGUGCANCGCCGUUCUUAGUUGGUGGAGUGAUUUGUCUGGUUAAUUCCGUUAACGAACGAGACCUUUUCCUGCUAACUAGUUUUUAUAUUUUUUUGAGUAGCAAUGUGAAACUUCUUAGAGGUACUAUUCGUUUAUUUCACGGAUGGAAGCUUUAGGCAAUAACAGGUCUGUGAUGCCCUUUGAUGUCCUGGGCUGCACGCGGGCUACACUGAUGCAGUCAACAAGUGAGAGUACCUUUUCUGACAAGAGGAUGGUAAUCUUUGAACCUGCAUCGUGNGUGGGAUUGAAAACUGCAACUGG